rnacentral:lncRNA from 1 species
GGGCGCCCCUCCCCCAGCCUCGCUGCCGCCUUGCACUUUGAUCUCAGACUGCUGUGCUAGCAAUCAGCGAGACUCCGUGGGUGUAGGACCCUCCGAGCCAGGUGCGGGAUAUAAUCUUGUGGUGUGCCAUUUUUUAAGCCCAUCGGAAAAGCGCCGUAUUCGGGUGGGAGUGACCCGAUUUUCCAGGUGCCAUCUGUCACCCUUUUCUUUGACUCAGAAAGGGAACUUGCUGACCCCUUGCGCUUCCCAAGUGAGGCAAUGCCUCGCCCUGCUUCGGCUCACGCACAGUGCGCCCACCCACUGACCUGCGCCCACUGUCUGGCACUCGCUAGUGAGAUGAACCCGGUACCUCAGAUGGAAAUGCAGAAAUCACCCGUCUUCUGCGUCGCUCAGGCUGGGAGCUGUAGACCAGAGCUGUUCCUAUUCGGCCAUCUUCUGGUGCUACAUUUUAAAAGAGAAAGAAAAACUACAUAUACAGUAAGACAUUCUGUGCUGGGAGGAGAGCAGAGGAUCCAGGGAGCAGAUUGCAGGGAGCUUCACUGAAGCAAGAUGACCGUGAUGCUGGAGAAGAGCCCUUGAGAUGGAACAGUGAGAUGAACCCGGUACCUACGAUGGAAGUGCAGAAGUCACCCGUCUUCUGCGUCGCUCACGCUGGGAGCUGUAGACCAGAGCUGUUCCUAUUCGGCCAUCUUCAAAACCUCAGGUACUGAGGAGUCCUUGUGGAAUUCCCCUUUGGAGUUGAGAGUUUCACAAGUUGUACAAUCACAAGGAGGGCACCUGUCUCUUUCUUCGUUUGGGCAUAUUCAACCAACACCUUCUGUCUUCAGCUUGAUGAGUAAGGAAGGACUGAAAGAAAUUCUAUGGCAGUACUGGCUGUGCCUGAGAAACCUCCUGCCACUCAAGCCCAGCAAGUCUUAUGAAGCAAGCUGCCUACAGAAAUGUCCAUGUGUCAGGAAACUGAAGCUGGCUCAUGGUCAGCAGCCAGCAAGCUACAAAGGGCUUCCAACAGCCCAUGAAGCACUGAGUCCUGCCAAAAGCCACGUGCAUGAGCUUAGAAGAGCUUCAUCCUCCAGGCUAGGAAAGAGACAGUCGGUGUGCAGCAAGAGAAAAGAGAGGAGGAAACAUGUGGAAAGACCCAAAGAAUGAAGACACAAGAGCAUGCCUGAAUGCAAUGGGAAGUAGAUCAGUUGACCUUUGCUGAAUAACAAGGUGGACCUAAAACUGGGUGACUUGAAACAGUAACCUGGUACCAUCUUGAAGAGAACUCCAAAACCGUAGAGUUUAUCACCUCAGAGUCCUGCCUGGAACAAAAAUCACUGAUGAACUUUGAGUUCUAUUACAGACCCUGUGUAGUGAGCACCAUCUAUUGAAAAGUCUCUUAUUUCUCCAUUAAAUUUUUUGGCACCUUCAUUGAAAAUCAGUCGAGCAUAAAUGUAAGUAACUAUUUCUGUAUUCUCAAUUCCAUUCCAUUGAUCUGUGUGUUUAUACUAAUGCCAGCACUACACUGUCUAGAUUACUGUACUUUUGUAUUGUUUAUCAAUCAGAAAGUUGGAAGCGAGUUUUCCAACUUUUUUCUUUAACUUUGUUCUUUGUUUUGGCUAUUUGUGGUACUUUGGAAUUUCUUAAAAAUUUUAGGAAAAAUUUGUCAAUUUGUAAAGAAUAAAGGCAGCAAGAAUUGUGUUGCAUGUGUAGACCAAUUUGGGAGUGUUGCCAUCUUAACAAUAUUAAGUCUUUUAUUCCAUGACAAUGUGAUGUGAUUCUAUUUAUGUAGGUCUUUAUUUUCUCCCAAUGAUAUUUUGUUGUUUUUAUACAAAAAUUUUACAUCUAUUGGUAAUUUUGCCAGGUGUAGUGGCUCAU